rnacentral:piRNA from 1 species
UAUGAAAGAAUAGCAGAAACAGGGAACC